UCAGCCACUAUUUUACCCAAAACCCUAACCAAAGCCAAACCAUCUUCACGUUACAAUCAGACACCAUCUGUUGGGGCCGCAAGCCUCCCACUCUCGCCGUACCCUUGUGUCAAACUCUCCUCUAUAGUCUCCGUUGCACGCUUCUGUUGUUUUUUUCUCCUUUGCUACAAGUUAGUUUCGUGGUUUGUGACCAGUUUCAUACAUAGUUUGUGCUCGUGAUUCCCCUUGGCUGGAAGUUGUAUACGGUCUUCCAUUGUCUCCGGAGGGCUUUGGUCCUUGUUGAGAUCACUGCUCUGCUGCGUUUGUGCAAAACACAACAAGAAAAUGGAAACAAUGAAGGAGAAGACACAUUAUAACAAAACUCACUAUUGCAGAUGCCAAACAAAGGCGAUAGCAACAGUAUACAGGGAAAUGAGUUAAGAAAAGAAAGAUAUUGUGGAAGAAAUGGAAUUUGGUGGUCUAGCACAUGUGCCAGAAAUGAACGUCUCUAAUACACUGUUGAUAGAAUUGCUUGAUCGAUUUGAUGUAGAGAGAGGAUUCCUGAAAACUCUACAAGGGACAAUAUACAUAACUCCUUGGAAAGUAGCAGCUGCCCUCGUUAUAACCAACGGAGGAAAUCUUUUUCCUGAAAAUGUUGAUUACAACAAGCUGAAUCCAACAGACAAGAAAAUAUUUGACAGCGUCAAAAAUAUUUCCUUGGCAACUUUGGCAAGAAAUGUGCUGGAUAUGAGUGUAGAAGGGGAGAAAAACCGGAAAAAAAUUCAAGAGGACUUUUGUUGUCUACAUACAAAAGUGCUUCUUGCUCCCCACAAUGGUAAGUGUGGCCUCCCCAAUCCACAAGCCAUCAAUCUUUCAUGUGGACAACAUUAGGGAAUGGGAUUGGGCAAAGCAUGUUCUCAACUUCAUAAUGAAAGGAGUUAAAAACAAGAGAGAGAGGAAGAAAUAGUCUAUUGAUAGCUGUGUUUUUGUAUUAAUGUUGAUAUACUUCCAUGAAACAAAGUUUCCCCACCCGUUUGUACCUGAUGCUACCCCUGCACCAUGGGUGGCCCAUUGGAUAAGGAAAAUGAUCAUUGAACGGAUUUCAUCCGAAACAACACAACCAUUGGGACUUCUGUACAUAAAGCAAAAAAAAAAAGAAAGAAAAAACAAAAACAAGUAACUUGGACAAAAAAGAAAAAGGAAAGAAAAUAAAAAAGAAAAAUGUUGAGAUGGAUUCUUCUUCAGAAGAGGAAAUACUUUCCAAAUCUGAAUCCGAAAGCCAAGAAGAAGAAAUAAAAAAACCACAACAAAGAAAAGAAAACAACCAUUGAAGGUGGUUAAAAAAUAAACCAAAAAAAACAAAGCAUGUGCCUAUAGAUUCAGAGAGCACAAGCGAAUAUGAAAACGAGGAAAAUGAAAUUGAGAAAACACCCAUAAUUAAAAGAAGAAAAUAACCACAAAGAGUGGCAAAAACACCAACCCAACUUGACAAGGAACCUGAACAAGCAAAAGACAAUGCUGCCGAAAAAAGAAAACGAGCAUUGGAGAUAAUAAGGGAAAAAAGAUCAAAGAAAAUAAAUGAUGGAGCUCAGUCAACAAACAUUGCUCCGGAUCAGUUUGACUCUCCACAGGGACAAAAUGAUUUCUCUAAGACGGUGCCAACUGUAAAUAUUGAUAGUGAGCAAGUCUUACAGACUCAAGGAAGCUCUACAUCUUCUGUAAAUGCUGCGAGCAAUACUAGUUCAAGAAGAGUUGAUGAAGGAUUGCUUCAUCUAUGUCCCUCCACAAGAAGAAACACAACAAACUUCUAAUAAUGACUGCCCUCAAGAAGCUGGAAAGCAGGGUGUUACAGUAUCUCUUACGAGUUCUAUAAUUGAAGACUUAUUGAAAGAUGACUAUGUGUAUGAAGUUUCUAAUAAAGACCCUGCAAAAGAACAACAGCAACAAGCCCAAGAACCACCAGUGCAACAAGAAUCAGAACAAGAAGCAGCUGCUAAUGUACCUCUGUAACAGCCCUGCGAAGAACCAACAACGCAACAAUCCAAACAAGAAGCACCUGUUGAUGUCUGCCCUCCAAAACCCAACAAGCAGGGUGUUACGGGGUCUAUUACAAGCUUUGUUAUUGAAGAGUUUUUCAAGGAUGCCGAUAUUUAUCAAGUUUCUGAUGAAGAACAAUCACAAAAACCUCAAAUGGCACGUUAAUCAGAAAAAGAAACUCUAAUC